AGUUUGGGCUUUUCAAUCUGGUUUUUCCUCAAGGGGCCAAGAACACUGAUAACGCUUCAGACAAGACCUGUGAUCUCGAAGGGCGAGCAAUCUUGGCCUGAAAACUAACGGCAUUGACCGUAGCUGGUAAAAUGAUAGUCUGACAUAGUAUUUUUUAACAUCGUUAUGAGAGAAAUCAUAAUGCUCAUGCAGAAAGUAUAUUG
rnacentral:lncRNA from 1 species